rnacentral:rRNA from 1 species
ACGGAAGGCAGCAGUGGGGAAUAUUGCACAAUGGGGGAAACCCUGAUGCAGCGACGCCGCGUGAGUGAUGAAGUAUUUCGGUAUGUAAAGCUCUAUCAGCAGGGAAGAUAAUGACGGUACCUGACUAAGAAGCACCGGCUAAAUACGUGCCAGCAGCCGCGGUAAUACGUAUGGUGCAAGCGUUAUCCGGAUUUACUGGGUGUAAAGGGUGCGUAGGUGGCAAGGCAAGUCUGAAGUGAAAAUCCGGGGCUCAACCCCGGAACUGCUUUGGAAACUGUUUAGCUAGAGUACAGGAGAGGUAAGUGGAAUUCCUAGUGUAGCGGUGAAAUGCGUAGAUAUUAGGAGGAACACCAGUGGCGAAGGCGACUUACUGGACUGCUACUGACACUGAGGCACGAAAGCGUGGGGAGCAAACAGGAUUAGAUACCCUGGUA